rnacentral:misc_RNA from 1 species
CCAACCACCAUGUCUCUGUCAUUGAGAAAUGUCAUCCACAGACAUACCACCCACAACAAAUAGGCUUCAUUUCUAAACUUAUAUUGCAAGAAUUUUCCAACUUCAAAGUUCCAACUAAAUAUUAAAUCAAUUACGUACAGAGAAGACAAUUUCAAAGUCUACUCAAACACUUUUAACUUAACAUAUAAGUGAAGCAAUGGAUUCCUAGAAAAGUUGAAGUGCACAAUUCAAUAUGCAUGCAGGGAUUGAAAAUGCCAAUAAAUUAAAUAGGGAAACUGUAAACAGAAUACAAUAGUUAACUGCAUACAAUCAAAUUUUUCUUUCUUUUCCAUUCCUUUUCACAUUUAUCAACAACCAUGACAAGUGAACCCGAUACUUUUGGUUUUUACCUGAGGUCUUAAUUGACCACUAUAUCCUUACUCUAUUUAGAAAUGGUAAAGACAGGUAUCUAUAUCACAGCACAGCCCUAAAAUAUAGUAUUUGAUAUUCAAGGACCAGUUUAUUGACUACAUCACAAUAUAACUGGACAAACAGAAACAAGUAUAUUCUGGCUACACAAAAAUAACGUCAUUACUAAAUUCAACCUGUUGGAAUACUGCUUUGAAGUUAAACAACACGAGGCUAUAUCGAAGCAAAUAAUAGACAGCUCAUUAAACAGAAAUUGUGUAGUUUAUCACUGGUAAAGCAGCCAGAACUUAAA